rnacentral:rRNA from 1 species
GACGAACGCUGGCGGCGUGCUUAACACAUGCAAGUCGAACGGAAAGGCCCUGCUUUUGUGGGGUGCUCGAGUGGCGAACGGGUGAGUAACACGUGAGUAACCUGCCCUUGACUUUGGGAUAACUUCAGGAAACUGGGGCUAAUACCGGAUAGGAGCUCCUGCUGCAUGGUGGGGGUUGGAAAGUUUCGGCGGUUGGGGAUGGACUCGCGGCUUAUCAGCUUGUUGGUGGGGUAGUGGCUUACCAAGGCUUUGACGGGUAGCCGGCCUGAGAGGGUGACCGGCCACAUUGGGACUGAGAUACGGCCCAGACUGCUACGGGAGGCAGCAGUGGGGAAUAUUGCACAAUGGGCGGAAGCCUGAUGCAGAAACGCCGCGUGCGGGAUGACGGCCUUCGGGUUGUAAACCGCUUUCGCCUGUGACGAAGCGUGAGUGACGGUAAUGGGUAAAGAAGCACCGGCUAACUACGUG